CACCCGAUAGUACAUGGUGUGCACCUGCUUUUCUUAACUGUGCUUCGUCGAGAAAUACAAGCAAGAGGUCCCCGUUCGACUCGGGGUCGGGUGA